UCUCUCCUCCUCAACCUUAUUUCCAUCCUAUUUAACUCGACUUGUCCUCACAGUGUCCUGCAAAGUCAGGUUGUCACUUCGUCUGCAAAAAAUGAUGACGUCUUCUUUGCGUGUUUGACUAGCCCAAGGCUGUUGCCCUAGGGCCUCAAAAAAAAAUAUUUAUGGGGCAAAUCACGCCUCAAUCUCUAUCUCGUAAGGAGAAUCAAUGCUUGCGCAAAAGAAGUGUCCAUCAGUUCUUCUUUACCCACACUUCCCAUUCUCUCUCCUCCUCAACCUUUUUUCCAUCCGAUUUAAUUCUCUCAACCUUUUUUCCAUCCUAUUUAACUCGACUGGUCAUCACAGUGUCCUGCAAAGUCAGGCUGUCACUUCGUCUGCAAAAAAUGAUGACGUCUUCUUUGCGUGUUUGACUACCCCAAGGCUGUUGCCCUAGGGCCUCAAAAAAAAUAUUUAUGGGGCAAAUCACGCCUCAAUCUCCAUCUCGUUCUCAUCUCUGAAGUCUGAACUUGCCCACUCUCUCUCUCUCCAACUGCAAACUAUAAAAUCUGCAAGAGUCAAAAGUUCCAAACCUAUUACCUAUAUCAAAACCCAUAUUCGCCUCCAUCUUCUCAACUCUGAACUUCCCCCUCCCCCUCUCUCUCUCUCUGCGCAACUGCAAACUACAAAAUCUACAAGAAUCAGAAGUUCAAAACCCAUAUAUUUCAAUUUAUCUAUCUGUCUGCAAGAAUCAAAAGUUCAAAACCCAUAUCGGCAUAUCAUUUCGGAUUGUUCAAAAAAUCAAAACCCAUAUCUUUCAGUUCCAUCGCCCGCUGUUCCAGUUCGGGUUCGCCGUUCGCAACCUUCAGCCGCUGUCUCUCAACUCUCAAGCUUGCCCCCCUCUCUCCCUGCAACUGCAAACUUGUAUCUUUUGCAAACCCUAAUCUUCCUAGCAACCUCUCAUAUCCCGUCCGGAGUGGGAGAUAGAGAAAAAGAUAGCGCAUUAGCGUUAGAUUAAAGUUUUGGCUCUAACAACUAUCAAUCAAAGAUAGUCAAACCACAUGCCUCCUAAAUCUUCAGGUGUACUUGUUCAGAAGAGAAACCGUUGGGAAUGGGUGGAGUCGGCAAAAUAUCAAAAAAUAUAUAACGGUAUGUUCAUCCUCUCUCUUCUCUCUUCUUUUGUUUUCCUCUCCCUAAGUCCACUCCAAUCUCACAACAGCAGCAAUUAUACCCACGUAAGUACAUUCCAAUUUCCUCAUAAUUUUUUGCAUUUUCACGUUCAAUCCUACAAAAAUUAAGAUCCCUUCUAGUGGGUUGAGGACCUGAGGUAAUAAUUAACUUUUUCGAUCUCUAAAUUAUGCUCAUACUUCUUUUUUUUCUUUUUUUUUUUUAAUUUUUAAUUUUAUUUUUAUAUGAAGAUACAUACCACCAUUAUCGAUGUUAUUUGAAGUUGGCUCAGCUAGAAUUUCAGUUAAUAAUACUGUCAAAGGCUCAAAGCACUUGCCAUCAGAAUGUACGAACGCAUGGAAAUCAAGAGUAGGCUUUAACAAAACAAAAGUUCGUGGUUUUUUUCUAUUAAUUUGCACAGGUUUUCUGUAGCAAUGAUCAAUCACUGCUACUAAAGUUGAUUCCUCGUCCUGAAAUCAAGAAAGGGGUAAUUGGCUCCCAAAAAAACACACACAAAGCUCCAGUGAAAACUCCAGCCAGGAGAUCAUUCGACCAAACUGCUUGAUUUUAGAUUUUUUUUUAUAUUAUAUUUAUUGCAUAUGAUUGGCAAUGCUUGGUUAUUAUUGUUUCCGUUUGAUUCUCCAUCAUCUUUUUUUUUGGCUUUCUGUGAUUACAUGCUUCAUAAUAUAUAAUUCAAUGAUUUGAUUGUUCUGAAAUUAUUGUGUUUAGCUCUGUAAUUACAUGCUUCAUAAAUCAAUGAUAUGAUAUUAAGCUUUCUGUAAAUAUAUAAUUUUUCUGAAAUUUUUGUGUUUAGUUCUCAAUUUAUUGUGUUUAGCUCUGUAAUUACAUGCUUCAUAAAUCAAUGAUAUGAUAGUAAGUUUUUAUUUUUUUAUUUUAUUUAAAUAGCUAAUUAAUAACUAAUAUUUAAGGAUUCAAAUCAAAUAUCCUCUUACACGUUAUUUAGUAGGAAGACCGAACCUUGACCAAGUGAGAGGCAGUCACUGUUUGAGUUUCAAAUUAAAUUGAAUCCGUGUAGGAUGUAAAAAGAACAAAGUUUAACCAUGAAGUUACUGUACGGGUAUGAUCAAUGAUGUCCUAAAUUGAGAGUGGUCAGGGACAUGUUGGAUCUGGUAUGCAAGAAGCCAGUGUACCAUAGAUGUUCAAGAUUAGCUACCAUCCAUAAGGCAGUUACCUAGCUAGCUCAUCCAUAUGGGGCACCCACUGUUCUGAACCACCAUGUCUCUCUCUCUCAUUAGGAAAUUUGACAUCAUUGAAGAAGUCCUUUAAUGCAAUUCAAAAAAGUAGUUGGUUUAGUGGUGGGAUAAGUUGAUUGGCAAUAAGGAGAGAUGAAACAAGUGUUGGUGGGAAAGAACUAGUUUACAUUAGCAAGCAUGUGUGGUAAGGAGGCCUUGGGAUUGUGUGAGUUGUUGAUGAUUUAAGUAUUAUAUGGUACUUUAGUCUAGCUCUAAAUUUUUAUUUUUUAUUUGAGAAGUUCAAUCUGGCUCUAUUUUGUAUGUAUGAAUUUGAACCAAUUGCAUACUUAAUGGGCCUACAAAAAAGUGGCCUCAAUCCCAUAAGGAUAUAGAAAAAUCAGUGGCCCAAAAUUUGGUUCACAAUUAAACUAGCAACCUACCAAUGAAUAUAGAAGUUUUGGUAUCCAGAAGAUGCGUAAACCAAGACAUAGCAAAAGGUUAUCCGACCUUGAAACGAGGGUAUCAGAAGGGUGGUUUAUUUGUGAAAUUGCUUGGUUUGGAUCAAAGUGAGUAGUGGUGGUGGUUAAAGGCUGAGUGGAGGUAAUGGUGGUAGUUAGAGCUAGCAUGAGAUUCCAACUUCCAACAAGGAUGGAAUUACUUCUUCAUAUAAGGGAAUAAUCAUUUGGGUAGUUGAGUGGAGUUAGAGCUUGUAAAUUCUGUCAUUUGUUGCACAAUUGUGUGAUCUUCACUGUAGCUUUCAUAACACCUACUCCAUCUUGGAUCUCUGCAUACCUAUUGUUAGACAAGUUGCAUCGAAGAAACAUAUAUGUCAAUUCUAAGUUACAUGUAUUUGUGUUUAUAAUUGAAUUGAACCAAAAAAAAUCACAAUAUUUCCAGAAAUUGCUUUUACUUCAAAGUUUGAAUUUAUACCAUAUUGCAAGGAGCAAAAGAAUAAGGAAUGUUGGUAAAUUCAAAGCUCAUUCUGGGCCGGUGUUGCCUAAUUGUGAUAUGGGCAACAUCAGACCAGAGAUAUUUGGUAUAUGUGAUGUGAUUGGGUUUAUAAAGGUUUGGGUCCAUGGAUGUUGAUGUAGCAGAGGAUUUGUGGAUUCAGGCAUAGGUUGGAACAUAGAUGGAUUGGUGGGCAGGCUUUGUUCUGUGGAUAUAUGGUUUGGUAGUUCAAAAGUGGAAAGUUGACUUGGUGGUCAGCUGAACUAAGGUGUGUCAAAUUCUCACACAUCAUGACGUUCAAGACUCCUUAUUCAUACUUGGCCAUUUGGGUGAAUUCUGCUUUGUGGUUCUUAUAUUCACUCCCCAAAUUUCACCCAGAUGUGUUGAUUGCUGUUGUGAGUGCUGUGGGAGCAAUAGCUGAAAUUGGAUACGUGAUUGUGUUUCAGUAUUAUGAUGUGAAUCACAUUCGUCGCGUGAGUAAUAGUAAUGAAACAUAUUUACAACAAUUCUCUCUUUUUCCUUUUACACACUUUCAAUUUAUAUUUUCAGAUGUGCAUCAGAAGUUGCUUGUGCUUUCAAGUGCUUGUGCUUCCAAGUGCUUGCUCUGGUCUUCAUAGCUACACCAAAAGGUCCAAGUUGAUGGGUGUUUUGGCCUCUGUCACUGCCAUGGAUGCCCAUUACCAAAUUUGUAUCAAGCCAUUCAGCAGAAAAAUCUGAAUGGCAUGUCAUUCCCACAAUUGGUAGCCAGUUUGGCUAAUAGCGUCUUAUGGCUCCUCUAUGCUGUCACUAAAACCAAGCGUGACAAGUUCAUAAUGGCCCACAAUGCGGCAAAUUCACACAGAUGAUGAAGUCCAAGUCUUUACCCUUUAUUUGUACUUGGCCAUUUGGGUGAAUUAUGCUUUCUGGCUCUUAUAUUCGCUCCCCGGGUUUUACCCAUACGCGUGGCUUGCUUUUGUGAGUGGUGUGGCAGCAGGAUUGGAACUUGGAUACUUGCUUGUGUUUUAACAUUAUGACGUGAAUCACAUAUGUCGUAUGUUCAUCAAAACUUGCUUGUGCUUCCAAGUGCUUGCUGUGGUCUUCAUAGCUACUUUCAGACCACUGUAUUAUGACUCAAAUGAGAGGAGGUCCAAGUUGGUAGGUAUUAUGGCCCGUGUCACUGGCGUAAUCAUGUAUGGAUGCCCAUUACCAAAAUUGAAAGUAAUCUGAAUGACAUGCCAUUCUUACCAUCGGUAGCAAGUUUGGCUAAUAGCCUCAUAUGGCUUCUCUAUGUUGUCACUCAAACAGAGCAUGACAAUUUUAUAAUGGAUGAUUCUGUGGAAUAUCCACACCCAACAAGAAGUCCAGGAACAUAGGCCUUACCCGUACUUGGCAGUGCUUCUGAAUUCAGAGUUCUUCUUAAUGUAUGCAUUUCCCCGAUUUAAUGGGGACUUGUGGCUAGGUCUUGUGAGUGUUACCGGGCAGUGAUCUAGCUUUGUUACUCACAUGACGCGACUCGCCGUGAUGAUUGUUGCUUGCUUAUUCUUCGAACUGCUUAUGGUGGCCUUUAUUGCUAUCCUUGCACUUGUGGCUUAUCACGCCAAGGAGCUGGAAAUAGUUGGCAUUGCAUGUUGUAUAACGGGGUCGUUGUGUAUACAUGUCCAUUUUACACUAUGUGGCAAGUGACUAGACAAAGGAAUCUUCAAGGCUUCCCCUUCCUUCCAUGCGUAGCAAGUUUGGCUAGUAGCGUAAUGUGGCUCAUGUAUGCGUUCACUCUUGAUAAACAUGACAAUUACAUCUUGGUUGGAAAAGGUCCCUGAUCUUUGUGUCCAAUCUGCAUCUAUAUCUUUGUUGCUCUGGCGAGCGAUUCCAAUGUCUAAUGUCUUGUUUUGACAGAGGGAUCACAUCGUCUUUUGAUCAAAUGGUGUACUUAUUGGCGAGAAGAAAACAACCUAAAAUGAGUGGAAUCGAAAAAGAUUGUGGUAGAUCAGAUGAACUUGCAAGGAUUGAAGAUACAAGUACUAAAACCAAUGGUAAUUAUUGCAAGCAAAUAGCCUUUGGGACGUGGUGUCAAAUCAGUUGGUUCAACAAGAAGGUGCCUACUUAUUUGCUUCUACUCUUAAUUCCAGUAGUUGGAGCUGUGAUUGCGUUAGCGCCUGCCAGCCCAAGUUUUCUGUUCCGAUCUCGACUUCGGCGAAAAAAUCUUUUUCGGACUCAAUGGAGAACCCCAAUAUCUUUUCUUGGCAAGAAGACGAUGACGAAGGGUUGAACUGCUUUGUCAGUCUCGAGAUGCACCGGUGAGCAUGGAUAAUUCGAACAUAAUUGGAGGUCACGGGUUUGAAAUAAGGUUUUACAUUCGAAUUUGAAGUGCUCCUAUCAAGUUUCAAAUUGUGUGUACUUCAACCAAAAAUAGUAGUAUUUGUAAAAGAAACUUUCUUCGGGCUUCAUAUGAAGAUCUCGUAAUUAUAUUAAGGUUUUACAUUCGAAUUUGAAGUGCGUCUAUUGAGCUUCAAAUUAUGUAUAUUUAAAUUAUACUUCAGCCAAAAAAAGUGGUAUUGAUUGAUCCGAAAUCUGAUUCAUUUAUGGGUAGGUAAGAAAUGUAUUGAAUUGAUAUUUUUUAUUUUUUUUUAGUGAAUGGUAAUUGAUUUGUUUUUUUUGAAUGAAUGGAGAAACGGAUCCGAUCGCAAACUCUGAAUCAUAGAUAUAGGAUCAACCAACAUUUAAUAAAUUGAAAAAACGGCCAGAAAAUAUGGUUACACGAAGGGUAAUUUUCCCUUAUACCUACCACAUAAAUCAUUUUAUUCAGCAAAUAUCUUCUAUUUUUAGAAAAAAAGAAAGUCAAAAUGCUGGCCGGUACUGACUGCUGAUGAGAUAAUUUAUUCUUAUUUAUGACUGACAAAAAAAAAAAAAAAAAAAAAAAAAAAACUGAUCGAUAUUCAUAUCAUUAUUUUAAAAAUUUUGAGAUAUAUUCCUUCCAUUCUAAUGUUAAAUAUUUAUAUAUUUUUAUUGUCUUGAAAUAUUUGUUGACUUUUAAAUAACAUAUUUUAGGUCUUUUUGUAAAAUACUCUUGGAAUUUAAUAAAUAAUAAGUUAAAUUUGAUCAUAUAUAUUUGAACUUGAAAAGAUAAUUAGGUAAUUUUAAAAAAGACAAUGCAACAAUUAUAUUUUUUGAAAUAAAAAUAUUUAAUAUGAGACCAGAGAGAGUGCUUUUCUAUUUUGGAAUUUGCCCCACCAUGUUUGUGAGUGAAAGUGUUGGUAUGAUUAUUUAAGUUAUUUAAAUUAUGAAUGUCGUUCUUAUGUUUUAAAUGCGUUUUGAUUUUUACAUUUCACCCGAACUUACUCUCAUUGUAGCUAUGUAACUUAAAUUAAAUUUGGUCCUAUUUGCCCUUCCUCAUUGCUUAUUUGUCAUCCUUAUGUACCAUUUUCCCUUGUAUUUUUUUCUUCUUUAAAUUCCCCUCAUUCUCGUAUUGGUGGCUAGCCAGUGAUUUGAUAAUAUCUCACCAAAAACACUUCUCUGAUAUAACUACAUCCACUCAUAUUUCUAAUUUUGCUCCAUAAUAUAUUGGUGUGCUAAAAGACACAUAUAUCCUUCUUCACCCCUUCAUCACUAGGUCAGUUUGGUACAAAUGUAAUCCUCGUGGCAGUAUGGCACCAAAAGAUACCUACACAUUCCCUGAUAUUUAGUGGGGUCUACUGAUAAACGGUCGAGAUGAUGUAUCAGAAUAAAAUAUAGAAAUGUUCACGGUUAGGAUUCAACAACUUUUAAACUCAAGUUCACCCAGGGGGUUCAUUGGUAAUUUAAGAAGUGACAACAGGAAAUUAAAAAACAGGUUAAAUUAUCACAAAUUUUUUUUUUUUUCUGUUUUUUCAUCGGAAAUCGGUUCUCUCUAACAUUUUCUAGCUUUCCUCAUCUUCUUUAUAGCUGGAGAGAGAAACUUAGAGAGAGAAUGGCGAUGGCGUCUAACAUUACUGGGUUUCGGAAGGUGCGCGAUUACUCCAUUCACGACACAAGUGCUCCAAGUUUUCUGCAGAAGGAAAGAGAGAGACAGAGGUCAAAAUCACCCCUACAAAGUCAUUGAAAUUACACCUCCGCCCAAGAACCUCGGCAUUCGUUGCUUUCCUUCC